ACUCCUACGGGAGGCAGCAGUGGGGAAUAUUGCACAAUGGGGGAAACCCUGAUGCAGCCAUGCCGCGUGUGUGAAGAAGGCCUUCGGGUUGUAAAGCACUUUCAGUUGUGAGGAAAGGUUGGUAGUUAAUACCUGCCAGCUGUGACGUUAACAACAGAAGAAGCACCGGCUAACUCCGUGCCAGCAGCCGCGGUAAUACGGAGGGUGCGAGCGUUAAUCGGAAUUACUGGGCGUAAAGCGCACGCAGGCGGCUUGUUAAGCUAGAGGUGAAAGCCCCGCGCUCAACGUGGGAACUGCCUUUAGAACUGGCAGGCUAGAGUCUUGGANAGGGGAGUGGAAUUCCAGGUGUAGCGGUGAAAUGCGUAGAUAUCUGGAGGAACAUCAGUGGCGAAGGCGGCUCCCUGGCCAAAGACUGACGCUCAUGUGCGAAAGUGUGGGUAGCGAACAGGAUUAGAUACCCUGGUAGCUACGA
rnacentral:rRNA from 1 species